CAUACAUGGUUUGGAUUCAGUCAAAAAUAAUAAACUGUGCGAGGAUGUUGUAAAGCAGACAGCUCUCAUGUUUUUAUGAUUAAAACAUAAUACAUACAAUUAUUUAAUAAUGGAGGACUAUAAAUAUCUUUUUAAAGGUCUUUUCCCCCCAGGACAGGGAGCAACCAUAGGAGUUGAUUUUAUGAUAAAAACUGUAGAAAUUGACGGAGAAAAAAUUAAAUUACAGAUUUGGGACACGGCAGGACAAGAGAGAUUCCGAAGUAUAACCCAGAGUUACUACAGAUCUGCGCAUGCGCUAAUCCUCGUCUACGAUGUAUCCAACCAACCAACCUUUGAUUGUUGUCCAGAUUGGUUGAGGGAGAUAGAAGAAUAUGCCUCACCUAAGGUGCUGCGUGUGCUGGUGGGGAACAAGAUAGACCGCGAGGACCACGAGAUCCCUGCCGAGGUAGGGGAGGAGUUCGCAGCCCGGCAUAAUAUGUACUUUCUACAGACAUCAGCAAAGAACUGUGAUAAUGUGGACAAACUGUUUACAGAGAUAGCACACGAGCUUCUUCAACAGGCGAAGACUAGGGAUCUACCAAGUGAAAGCCACAGUGUUCAAAGUUUAUCCGACCCUCUCCCUUCGUCGCAAUCAAUAAAUCAAAACUGUUGUUCUAAACUCCUCUGAGCCGAAAACUUAAGACAGGGGCUCUGAAGUACCUACUCCAGACAAAACAUAUAUUUCUUGCUCUAACCUACCCUUAGUGUAAUCAAUCCUAACCAUUAACCAGGCCUAUUAUGUUAUUUAUGUUUAAUGUAUUUUUUUUAUGUUGUUUCUCUGUCAAAGUGACUUGCGCAUUUCUUGCAUGUGAGAGACAAUGGAAAAGUUUAUAGAAUUUAACACAGACAAAUAACGUUAAAUUACACGUUGUAACUCGGACAUUGUCAUCUUUGCAUUGAAAUUAGCGUACAGUCCCUUUAAUGGAGAAAAAUCAUAGUAUAAAGUUGCAAUAGUCCUAAACUUUAAACACUGACCAAUAAGGAAUCAGUUAAUCUUUAAAUUUCUUUUUGUGCAAAUUGAACUUCAUUACUUAUAUGGUUAGUUAUUGGACAUUUUUGUGAUGAAGCUUAAAAGUUAAUAAUUUUAAAUAAUUUUCCACGGGCUGUUAAGUAGAUUUUGAUGCAAUUAAAUUUUCUGUUUGUACAUUUCUUGAUAUUAAAUGUUUCAUUAAAUUUAUGUAUUGUAACCUUUUAAUUGGUCACAACGGCCAACGCCACUGUAGAUAGAUAAUAUUAUUUUUUAGAUUUAGUUGUUUAAAUACUCAUUAAAAUAUGUAAAUUGACAAAUUCUUGUGAAAUUUGUGAGAUUCGCGACGAAAACAAUUUCUCUCUCUUUUCGUAAAAUUUUGUGAUGAAACCAAAGACAUAUGAAUAAAUAUUAAAACUUUAAA